rnacentral:rRNA from 1 species
GUAGGGAAUAUUGGUCAAUGGACGAAAGUCUGAACCAGCCAUUCCGCGUGCAGGAAGAAGAUUCUAUGGAUUGUAAACUGCUUUUAGUAGAGAAGAAACGCCUUCAUUGAUGAGGGUUUGACGGUAUCUGCGGAAUAAGCACCGGCUAACUCCGUGCCAGCAGCCGCGGUAAUACGGGGGGUGCAAGCGUUAUCCGGAAUCACUGGGUUUAAAGGGUGCGUAGGCGGGAAAUUAAGUCAGUGGUGAAAGUCUGUUGCUUAACGAUAGAAUUGCCGUUGAUACUGAUUUUCUUGAAUUGGGUUGAGGUUAGCGGAAUGUGACAUGUAGCGGUGAAAUGCAUAGAUAUGUCAUGGAACACCAAUUGCGAAGGCAGCUAGCUGGGCCUUGAUUGACGCUGAGGCACGAAAGCGUGGGUAGCGAACAGGAUUAGAUACCCUGGUAGUCC